UCCUCUGGUGAAUCUCUGAAGAAUAAAUAUCUGAAGUCACUUACUACAAGUUCAUCAUUAAUUCUGUCCUAUUCAUAUUCAUCUACCUCUUGAUGGCUGGAUAAAAGAAAGAGUUGAGGCUUUAGAAUGCUUGGAAAGUGGAUGUUGUAAAAAAAGAAGAAAAUAGAAGCCAUCACAGAAAGGUUAACUUGGAAUGCACACAGUCUUUUUCAGUCAAUAAAUCUGGUGAAAGCAUAAAUCUUCUGUAAUGAAGAUGGUGAAGUGUCAGGUCUCCCUCUUUCAAGAAAAAAUACUUACAAUGAAGCUGAGCCUGAA
rnacentral:lncRNA from 1 species